GUUUAUGGAGGUGACGAAGAGCCCGUCGUAAAGGGUUACAUCGAUGCUAGCUUCGACACAGAUCUGGAUGACUCUAAGUCACAAACCGGAUACGUGUAUAUUUUGAAUGGUGGGGCAGUAAGCUGGUGCAGUUACAAGCAAAGCGUUGUGGCGGGAUCUACAUGUGAAGCGGAGUACAUGGCAGCCUCGGAGGCAGCACAAGAAGCAGUCUGGGUGAAGGAGUUCAUUACCAACCUAGGAGUCAUACCCAAUGUGUCGGGCCCGAUGACUCUCUUCUGUGACAACACUGGAGCUAUUGCCCUUGCCAAGGAGCCCAGGUUUCACAGGAAGACC
rnacentral:rRNA from 1 species